rnacentral:rRNA from 1 species
CCUACGGGCGGCAGCAGUGAGGAAUAUUGGUCAAUGGACGCGAGUCUGAACCAGCCAAGUCGCGUGCAGGAUGACGGCCCUAUGGUUUGUAAACUUCUUUUAUAUGGGAAUAAAGUGAGGCUCGUGUGCCUCUUUGUAUGUACCCUAUGAAUAAGCAUCGGCUCUCUCCGUGCUAGCAGCCGCGGUAAGACGGAGGGUGCGCGCGUUAUCCGGAUUUAUUGGGGUUAAAGGGAGCGUAGGAGGGUACUUAAGUCAGCGGUGAAAGUUUGUGGCUCAACCCUGGAAUUGCCGUUGAAACGGGUGGACUUGAGUAUAUAUAGGGUAGCCGGAAUGCAUGGUGUAGCGGUGAAAUGCAUAGAUAUCACGAAGAACUCUGAUUGCGAAGGGAAGUUACUAAGGUGUAACUGACACUGAGGCACGAAAGCGUGGGGAGCAAACAGGAUUAGAUACCCUAGUAGUC